AUUGAACGCUGGCGGCAUGCCUUACACAUGCAAGUCGAACGGCAGCACGGGGCAACCUGGUGGCGAGUGGCGAACGGGUGAGUAAUGCAUCGGAACGUACCUUUCAGUGGGGGAUAACGUAGCGAAAGUUACGCUAAUACCGCAUAUUCCGUGAGCAGGAAAGCAGGGGAUCGCAAGACCUUGCGCUGAUUGAGCGGCCGAUGUCAGAUUAGCUAGUUGGUGAGGUAAAGGCUCACCAAGGCGACGAUCUGUAGCGGGUCUGAGAGGAUGAUCCGCCACACUGGAACUGAGACACGGUCCAGACUCCCACGGGAGGCAGCAGUGGGGAAUUUUGGACAAUGGGGGCAACCCUGAUCCAGCCAUGCCGCGUGAGUGAAGAAGGCCUUCGGGUUGUAAAGCUCUUUCGGCCGGGAAGAAAUCGCACGGGCUAAUACCCUGUGUGGAUGACGGUACCGGAAUAAGAAGCACCGGCUAACUACGUGCCAGCCGCCGCCGUAAUAC
rnacentral:rRNA from 1 species